AACGAACGCUGGCGGCAUGCCUAACACAUGCAAGUCGAACGAGACCUUCGGGUCUAGUGGCGCACGGGUGCGUAACGCGUGGGAACCUGCCCUUAGGUUCGGAAUAACUCCCCGAAAGGGGUGCUAAUACCGGAUAAUGUCUUCGGACCAAAGAUUUAUCGCCUUUGGAUGGGCCCGCGUUGGAUUAGCUAGUUGGUAGGGUAAAAGCCUACCAAGGCGACGAUCCAUAGCUGGUCUGAGAGGAUGAUCAGCCACACUGGGACUGAGACACGGCCCAGACUCCUACGGGAGGCAGGAGGGGGGAAUUUUGGAAAAUGGGCGAAAGCCUGACCCAGCAAUGCCGGGGGAGUGAUGAAGGCCUUGGGGUGGUAAAGCUCUUUUACCCGGGAUGAAAAUGACAGUACCGGGAGAAAAAGCCCCGGCCAACCCCGU
rnacentral:rRNA from 1 species